rnacentral:tRNA from 1 species
GGGGCUGUAGCUCAGUGGAAGGGCGCUCACCUUUCAUGUGGGAGAUGCUGGGUUCGAUCCUCAGCACCA